rnacentral:rRNA from 1 species
UACGUAGGGGGCUAGCGUUGUCCGGAUUUAUUGGGCGUAAAGAGCGUGUAGGCGGCCAUGUAGGUCUGGUGUGAAAACUCGAGGCUUAACCUCGAGAUGUCAUCGGAAACCAUUUGGCUAGAGUCCGGAAGAGGAAAGUGGAAUUCCUGGUGUAGCGGUGAAAUGCGCAGAUAUCAGGAAGAACACCAAUGGCGAAAGCAGCUUUCUGGGACGGUACUGACGCUGAGACGCGAAAGCGUGGGGAGCGAACAGG